UGAGGAAUUUUGGACAAUGGGGGAAACCCUGAUCCAGCGACGCCGCGUGAAGGAUGAAGGUCUUCGGAUUGUAAACUUCUUUUAUUUGGGACUAAGAAACCUGUAGAAACACGGGGAGUGAAUGUACCAAGUGAAUAAGCCACGGCUAACUUCGUGCCAGCAGCCGCGGUAAUACGAAGGUGGCAAGCGUUACUCGGAAUUACUAGGCGUAAAGGGCAGGUAGGUGGUUCGAUAAGUCUGUUGUGAAAGCUCCUGGCUCAACUGGGAGAGGCCAACAGAAACUAUCGGACUUGAGUAUGGGAGAGGGUACUGGAAUUCCCGGUGUAGCGGUGAAAUGCGCAGAGAUCGGGAGGAACACCAAUGGCGAAAGCAGGUACCUGGACCAUUACUGACACUCAACUGCGAAAGCUAGGGGAGCAAACAGGAUUAGAUACCCCUGUAGUCC
rnacentral:rRNA from 1 species